rnacentral:rRNA from 1 species
AUUGAACGCUGGCGGCAGGCCUAACACAUGCAAGUCGAGCGAGCGGCGGACGGGUGAGUAAUGUAUGGGGACUGCCCGAUAGAGGGGGAUAACUACUGGAAACGGUGGCUAAUACCGCAUACUAUCGGAUAACCCAUAUGGGAUUAGCUAGUAGGGGGGGUAAAGGCCCACCUAGGCGACGAUCUCUCGCUGGUCUGAGAGAAUGAUCAGCCACACUGGAACUGAAACACGGCCCAGACUCCUGCGGAGGCAGCAGUGGGGAAUAUUGCACAAUGGGCGCAAGUCUGAUGCAGCCAUGCCGCGUGUAUGAAGAAGGCCUUAGGGUUGUAAAGUAAUUUCAGCGGGUAGGCGUUACCCGCAGAAGAAGCACCGGAUAACUCCGUGACAGCAGCCGCGGUAAUUC